rnacentral:rRNA from 1 species
CCUACGGGUGGCUGCAGUGGGGAAUCUUGCACAAUGGGGGCAACCCUGAUGCAGCGACGCCGCGUGAACGAUGAAGCCCUUCGGGGUGUAAAGUUCUUUCGGCAGGGAAGAUAAUGACGGUACCUGCAGAAGCAGCUGCGGCUAACUACGUGCCAGCAGCCGCGGUAAUACGUAGGCAGCAAGCGUUGUUCGGAGUUACUGGGCGUAAAGGGUGUGUAGGCGGUCUUUUAAGUUUGGUGUGAAAUCUCCCGGCUCAACUGGGAGGGUGCGCCGAA